rnacentral:rRNA from 1 species
UUGAUCCUGGCUCAGAAUCAACGCUGGCGGCGUGCCUCAGACAUGCAAGUCGAACGCGAAAGUUCCCCGCAAGGGGAGCGAGUAGAGUGGCGCUCGGGUUAGUAACACGUAGGUAAUCUGCCUUUGGGUGGGGAAUAACAGCCGGAAACUGCUGCUAAUACCGCAUAAUGCAGCGGCUCGACAUCGAGACAGUUGUUAAUGCGGGGGAUCGCAAGACCUCGCGCCUAAAGAGGAGCCUGCGGCGGAUUAUCUAGUUGGUAAGGUAAUGGCUUACCAAGGCUUCGAUCUGUAGCCGGCCUUAGAGGGCGGUCGGCCACACUGACACUUAAAUACGGGUCAGACUCCUACGUGAGGCAGCAGUCGGGAAUUUUGGGCAAUGGGCGCAAGCCUGACCCAGCAUCGCCGCGUGAAGGAUGAAAUCCCCCGGGAUGUAAACUUCGUAAGAACGGUAAGAAUAAGUGGGGGACAAUACCCCCCAUGAUGACGGUACCGUUUGUAAUCUCCGGCUAACUCCGUGCCAGCAGCCGCGGUAAUAAGGU